rnacentral:rRNA from 1 species
UACAGAGGGUCUCAAGCGUUGUUCGGAUUCAUUGGGCGUAAAGGGUGCGUAGGCGGCGCGGUAAGUCGGGUGUGAAAUCUCGGAGCUUAACUCCGAACUGCAUUCGAUACUGCCGUGCUUGAGGACUGGAGAGGAGACUGGAAGUUUACGGUAGUAGCGGUGAAAUGCGUAGGAUAAUCGUAAGGAAGACCAGUGGGCGAAGGCGGGUCUCUGGGACAGUUCCAUGACGCUGGAGGCACGAAGGCCAGGGGACGCAAACGGG